GGGGGUUUAGCACAGUGGCACUGUGCCUGCCUCGAAAGCGCAAGGUCCUGAGUUCAAUCCCCGGUACCCCCC
rnacentral:tRNA from 1 species